CUGCUGUCGUGUGAUGGUCAGGCAUCCUUCAGGCUGGUGGAAAGAAAAAUCCUGGGCAUUGGCAGGCUUGCUGGGACUCCUGGGAGCUACUUGAAGAGACCUCAGGGUCAAAAACCUCUGCUUCCCAUGACAGCGCAUGAGAUCAAACCCCUGUGACCACGCUGAAGGGAAGGGGCUCAUUCGACCAUGCCGGGAACACACACGCUCUCUUACAGUACCUCUUGGCAAGCAGGAGAUGAGCAGGAGCUGGAGAAGGGUCCAGAUCCAGAUGAUGUCAUCUUUUUGCCAAUUACACUCCUGUGUCAGCUGCAUCCAGCCAGCUGCAUCCAAGAAUACAGAAUGUCGAAGGCUCU